UACGUAGGGGGGCAAGCGUUGUCCGGAUUUAUUGGGCGUAAAGAGCUCGUAGGCGGCUCGGUAAGUCGGAUGUGAAACCUCCAGGCUCAACCUGGAGACGCCAUCUGAUACUGCCGUGGCUUGAGUCCGGUAGAGGAGCAGGGAAUUCCUGGUGUAGCGGUGAAAUGCGUAGAUAUCAGGAGGAACACCCGAUGGCGAAGGCAGCUGCCUGGCCUGACACUGACGCUGAGGUGACGAAGGACGUGGGGAGCGAACGGG
rnacentral:rRNA from 1 species